CCCUGAAAUCUAUCACUUCUUUUAUCUAGGAGGUAUGUUUUUCAACCUGAUUUGAGUAUCUCUGUUUUGGUAGGGUGUUUUCAUAAAUCCAGCCUUCAUUGAGCCAUUUGGACUUACUUUAAUUGAGGUUAUUACUCUUGAGGAUGUAAUAAAGGGAAUUAAGAUCAUGAGGGAGACUUUGAUAUAUUUGUCACAUCUUGAUCACGAGGACACGAAAAAGCCGGUAUGGGUUUAUGGAAAAUAAAGUAGUAAAUGUA